AGCAGCCGCGGUAAUUCCAGCUCCAAUAGCGUAUAUUAAAGUUGUUGCAGUUAAAAAGCUCGUAGUUGAAUUUCGGGAUCAGUACGCUGGUCGUGCCUUUGGUAUGUACUGGUGUCACUGAUUCCUCCCUUCUGAAGAACCGUUAUGCCAUUUAUUUGGUGUGGCGGGAAAUCAGGACUGUUACUUUGAAAAAUUAGAGUGUUUAAAGCAGGCUCGCGCUUGAAUACAUUAGCAUGGAAUAAUGAAAUAGGACGUUUGAUCUUAUUUUGUUGGUUUCUAGGAUCGACGUAAUGAUUAAUAGGGAUAGUUGGGGGCAUUAGUAUUCAAUUGUCAGAGGUGAAAUUCUUGGAUUUAUUGAAGACUAACUACUGCGAAAGCAUUUGCCAAGGAUGUUUUCAUUAAUCAAGAACGAAAGUUAGGGGAUCGAAGACGAUCAGAUACCGUCGUAGUCUUAACCAUAAACUAUGCCGACUAGGGAUCGGAUGAUGUUAAUUUUUUAAUGACUCAUUCGGCGUCCG
rnacentral:rRNA from 1 species